UGGUCUAUAUAAUGAUUAACAGGUACGAGCUACUAGUAUAUUUAAUUAUUAUCCAUAGAAAUCCUUGUCAAUACAUUCAGGUAAUAACACGUUAUAUAUUCUGGUUGUUAGCGUUUAAUGUUCUAGAUAACGUCAAUGUCAUUAAAACAUUGCUCUCAUCUUCUCCUUUUUUCAAAAAAAGAUCAACACAUAAACACGCACAUACUCACAUAUAUGAACACAUGCAUACAAGUUCUAGGUAACGUCA
rnacentral:lncRNA from 1 species